rnacentral:rRNA from 1 species
UACGUAGGUGGCGAGCGUUGUCCGGAAUUACUGGGUGUAAAGGGAGUGUAGGCGGGAAUGCAAGUCAGAAGUGAAAACUAUGGGCUUAACCCAUAGCCUGCUUUUGAAACUGUAUUUCUUGAGUGAAGCAGAGGCAAGCGGAAUUCCUAGUGUAGCGGUGAAAUGCGUAGAUAUUAGGAGGAACACCAGUGGCGAAGGCGGCUUGCUGGGCUUUUACUGACGCUGAGGCUCGAAAGCGUGGGGAGCAAACAGG